rnacentral:rRNA from 1 species
CCCGGGGCUGAAUGUCACUACUGUGACCUGCGGAGGAUCAUUACCUAGAGUUGUAGGCUUUGCCUGCUAUCUCUUACCCAUGUCUUUUAAGUACCUUCGUUUCCUCGGCGGGUUCGCCCGCCGAUUGGACAAUUUAAACCAUUUGCAGUUGCAAUCAGCGUCUGAAAAAACUUAAUAGUUACAACUUUCAACAACGGAUCUCUUGGUUCUGGCAUCGAUGAAGAACGCAGCGAAAUGCGAUAAGUAGUGUGAAUUGCAGAAUUCAGUGAAUCAUCGAAUCUUUGAACGCACAUUGCGCCCCUUGGUAUUCCAUGGGGCAUGCCUGUUCGAGCGUCAUUUGUACCUUCAAGCUCUGCUUGGUGUUGGGUGUUUGUCUCGCCUCUGCGUGUAGACUCGCCUCAAAACAAUUGGCAGCCGGCGUAUUGAUUUCGGAGCGCAGUACAUCUCGCGCUUUGCACUCAUAACGACGACGUCCAAAAGUACAUUUUUACACUCUUGACCUCGGAUCAGGUAGGGAUACCCGCUGAACUUAA